rnacentral:lncRNA from 1 species
UGCGGUCAGCGAGCGGCGCAGCUGAUUCCUCUCCGGCGAUUGUCUGGCCAACCGUGCCAGUACUCGUCCAAGCGUUCCCCAACGGCGUCGUGCUGGAUCUAGGUCCCCAGGUAUGAGGAUGUCUAGUGUCCAUGUUUUCUGCUUUCCCCUGUUCUCCUCCCGUGGCUCAUCUAGUGGUUCCCUCUUCCCUAGAUUGGGCUAUAGAUUUGCAAAGCAAAUAGACGAGGGGACAAGGUCGUAGCUAAUUGGGUUGUCUCCUCUAGGAUCAGCACAUCCUUUGAAGGAAGUAGGAGAGGGGACGAAGUAGUGGCAUAUUGUCAGCAGAUGCAGAUGUUGGUCUUGAAGAAAUUGGGAAGGUAUAAUUUAUUUUCUCCUAAUUAAGUGUUAUAUACGUCUAUGACUAUAUGUGCCUAGAGUGUGUGCUCUGUGCGACCGUGGUCUAAUGAAAAGUGAUAUAUGUCUAUGAACUGCUACUACUACUGCCUAGAUGGAAUUUAGAUGAUGAUAAGUAUGUAAAUUUAGAAAGCUCGAGUGGUGUCUAGGGCUUGUACAUGCUUCUGCAAAUUUGCUAGAUUAAUUUAUGUGUGUGUGCUACUGCUAGUAGUGUGAUUGACAGCGAGAAAAAGAAUGUGUGCCAUUGGUACUAAUCCUAUUGACAGUGAACUGGUACUGCUAGUGCCAUCUUUACAUCAUUUUUUGGCUGAAAACAUUCAUGUGUAGUCAUAGAUGAUUAACUUACAACCCAAUCGUUUCAUUUAAGUCAACAUGUGGAAUAGAUGAUUGAACUUAUAUAAUCAGCAAAUUAUAUAUGAAACUCAUUUAAAUACAUUGUUUAAACUAUUGAAAACAGUAAUUUCAGUUAAAAUUCUGUGUAGAGUAGCCAUCUGCAGCAAAGACACAAUCGAGUCAUUUAGAGUUACAAAACCUCCAACCGUGAAACUUGCAGCCCAAACAAACACACCCUUAAUGCAGCAACAAGGAACUCUUAUGGCGAUAGAAUUGUGUGUAGUACGAUGGGAAAUAAGAAAGAUGUUGGAACUGGUUGAACAUAGAAAAUUGCAGAAAUGAUGUUUGCCAUCAGGUUUAGUUUCUAUUGCUAUUGAUUAGUGAAGUGAGCUGAGAUUAGCUAUUGCAAUUAAUUUCUAUUGCCUGGACGAUUCAACUCUUCUUUCAGGUUGCUUGGUGGCAAGAUUUCUGCAAGUUAUUAGGACUAAUAGUACUGCAUUGGUUUUUUCUUCUCCUAGUGUACUAGAACUAGGUGUUGAAUGACUAAUGUACAAAUCCGCAAAUUUGCCAUCACUGUUAAUUACUGUUUUCGGACCAUUAUCUUAACUGAUGUACUUAUGUAUUGAAGUGAUGCAUUAUUGAAUUUGACUGACUCAUAUUGGUGCUACAUAAUCAGCACUAUGUGCAACUGAACUGUUUGGUUUACUUUAAUUUGUUCUAGGCAAUGGUUCCGGUUGUUAGAAUAUGCUCUGUAAAGUGCAAGUGUUUGGUCGUGGUUUCGGCUGUUGUAUUGAGUCGUUUGCUUUACUUAAAUUUACUAGGAACUGGGCAGAGUUCUCUUUUUCAGGGGCAGAGUUCUGUUGGACAGAGUUCUAAUUCUACUCCUAGCAUCUUUGUAUUGAACUGUUUGCUUUACUUGCCUUUGGCAGAAUUGUGUUGAGAGAGUGUACUGUUGUUUUGUUUACCCAAAUGGGGCAUUUGCUGAUAUAAUAUCAAAAAAUUUACUUGCUUACCCCAUGUUGAUUGCAACUAGUUUCACACCGCUGGUACAAAACGUCUACGUGGAGACAUGGGGCGACGAUGCUAGCUUUGAUGACUUGUAAACACCGAGGGGUUAUGUGAAAAAUAUCAUUGCAACCCAGCGGGCGUUUAUUUGCAAAUAGCAGGUAGCAAUGAUGGAUGGAUCUAGUCCAUACACACAGGAUCCAACAGCCUGUGCUCAGGUUCCCAAGCUUCCACUGAAAAUGUGGUUUCCACCUGAUAUUGUCUCCAAAUUCUUAUACAAGGAAAACACUGUAGUGUUUUGUCAGUAUUUACACCAUACAUGGACCAUGCUAUUUUUUGCAACUUUGAGAAGACUCUGACGGCACAAGCACAUGAUGC